rnacentral:rRNA from 1 species
GAUGAACGCUAGCGGCAGGCUUAAUACAUGCAAGUCGAGGGGUAGCAGGGUAGCAAUACCGCUGACGACCGGCAAACGGGUGCGGAACACGUACACAACCUUCCUUUUAGUGGGGAAUAGCCCAGAGAAAUUUGGAUUAAUACCCCGUAACAUAGCGAUGUGGCAUCACAUUGUUAUUAUAGGUUUACCGCUAAGCGAUGGGUGUGCGGCUGAUUAGGUAGUUGGCGGAGUAACAGCCCACCAAGCCAACGAUCAGUAGCUGAUGUGAGAGCAUGACCAGCCACACGGGCACUGAGACACGGGCCCGACUCCUACGGGAGGCAGCAGUAAGGAAUAUUGGACAAUGGACGCAAGUCUGAUCCAGCCAUGCCGCGUGAAGGAUUAAGGCCCUCUGGGUUGUAAACUUCUUUUAUAGGGGACGAAAAAAGGGCUUUCUAGCUCGUCUGACGGUACCCUAUGAAUAAGCACCGGCUAACUCCGUGCCAGCCGCCGCAGUAAAAC